UAGCUAGUUGGUGAGGUAAAGGCUUACCAAGGCGACGAUCUGUAGCGGGUCUGAGAGGAUGAUCCGCCACACUGGAACUGAGACACGGUCCAGACUCCUACGGGAGGCAGCAGUGGGGAAUUUUGGACAAUAGGGGCAACCCUGAUCCAGCCAUGCCGCGUGAGUGAAGAAGGCCUUCGGGUUGUAAAGCUCUUUCGGCUGGGAAGAAAUCGCAUGGGCCAAUACCCUGUGUGGAUGACGGUACCGGAAUAAGAAGCACCGGCUAACUACGUGCCAGCAGCCGCGGUAAUACGUAGGGUGCGAGCGUUAAUCGGAAUUACUGGGCGUAAAGCGUGCGCAGGCGGUUUUGUAAGACAGGCGUGAAAUCCCCGGGCUUAACCUGGGAACUGCGUUUGUGACUGCAAGGCUAGAGUACGGCAGAGGGGGGUGGAAUUCCACGUGUAGCAGUGAAAUGCGUAGAGAUGUGGAGGAACACCAAUGGCGAAGGCAGCCCCCUGGGUCGAUACUGUCGCUCAUGCACGAAAGCGUGGGUAGCAAACAGGAUUAGAUACCCUGGUAGUCCACGCCCUAAACUAUGUCAACUAGGUGUUGGGUGGGUAAAACCAUUUAGUACCGUAGCUAACGCGUGAAGUUGACCGCCUGGGGAGUACGGCCGCAAGGUUAAAACUCAAAGGAAUUGACGGGGACCCGCACAAGCGGUGGAUGAUGUGGAUUAAUUCGAUGCAACGCGAAAAACCUUACCUACCCUUGACGUGCCAGGAACUUGCCAGAGAUGGCUUGGUGCCCGAAAGGGAGCCUGGACACAGGUGCUGCAUGGCUGUCGUCAGCUCGUGUCGUGAGAUGUUGGGUUAAGUCCCGCAACGAGCGCAACCCUUGUCGUUAAUUGCCAUCAUUUAGUUGGGCACUUUAACGAGACUGCCGGUGACAAACCGGAGGAAGGUGGGGAUGACGUCAAGUCCUCAUGGCCCUUAUGGGUAGGGCUUCACACGUCAUACAAUGGUCGGUACAAAGGGUUGCCAAGCCGCGAGGCGGAGCCAAUCCCAGAAAGCCGAUCGUAGUCCGGAUUGCAGGCUGCAACUCGCCUGCAUGAAGUCGGAAUCGCUAGUAAUCGUGGAUCAGCAUGUCACGGUGAAUACGUUCCCGGGUCUUGUACACACCGCCCGUCACACCAUGGGAGCGGGUUCCGCCAGAAGUAGGUAGCCUAACCGCAAGGGGGGCGCUUACCACGGCGGGGUUCGUGACUGGGGUGAAGUCGUAACAAGGUAGCCGUAGGGGAACCUGCGGCUG
rnacentral:rRNA from 1 species